rnacentral:rRNA from 1 species
UACGUAGGGUGCAAGCGUUAAUCGGAAUUACUAGGCGUAAAGCGUGCGCAGGCGGUUUUGUAAGACAGGCGUGAAAUCCCCGAGCUCAACUUGGGAAUUGCGCUUGUGACUGCAAGGCUAGAGUGUGUCAGAGGGGGGGUAGAAUUCCACGUGUAGCAGUGAAAAUGCGUAGAGAUGUGGAGGAAUACCGAUGGCGAAGGCAGCCCCCUGGGACAUGACUGACGCUCAUGCACGAAAAGCGUGGGGGAGCAAACAGG